rnacentral:ncRNA from 1 species
GCAAUCUCGGUAGUGAUUCUCAAUUAAGACAUUCUGGGGGAUACGCGAGAUGUUCAUUCGGGCUGAGUGAGCAUCACGUAGGGUAGGUAUCGGCAAGUUCUUUUGUCGAUAGACGGGAUACUAAUGUCGCGGAGCGGCAUGUGAAUGGGAAACCCAACA